AACACUGUUAACCUGCGGUACCUGCGGAGGGAUCAUUAACCAUCCAAACCUGACGGUGGAUGCGGCCUCCAGCUUGCUGGGCGGUUCGCGCCACAUGUCUAAAUCCUUUUUCUACGAGCACCAUUUGUUCUCCUUCGGUGGGGUAACCUGCCGUUGGAACCAUCAAAACUCUUUUGCAUCUAGCAUUACCUGUUCUGAUAAACACAAUCGUUAAAACUUUCAACAAUGGAUCUCAGAUCG
rnacentral:misc_RNA from 1 species